CCUACGGGAGGCAGCAGUGGGGAAUAUUGCACAAUGGGGGAAACCCUGAUGCAGCGACGCCGCGUGAAGGAUGAAGUAUUUCGGUAUGUAAACUUCUAUCAGCAGGGAAGAAAAUGACGGUACCUGACUAAGAAGCCCCGGCUAACUACGUGCCAGCAGCCGCGGUAAUACGUAGGGGGCAAGCGUUAUCCGGAUUUACUGGGUGUAAAGGGAGCGUAGACGGCAUGGCAAGUCUGAUGUGAAAACCCGGGGCCCAACCCCGGGACUGCAUUGGAAACUGUCAGGCUAGAGUGUAGGAGAGGCAAGUGGAAUUCCUAGUGUAGCGGUGAAAUGCGUAGAUAUUAGGAGGAACACCAGUGGCGAAGGCGGCUUGCUGGACGAUAACUGACGUUGAGGCUCGAAAGCGUGGGGAGCAAACAGGAUUAGAUACCCUUGUAGUC
rnacentral:rRNA from 1 species